AAGUCGUAACAAGGUCUCCGUAGGUGAACCUGCGGAGGGAUCAUUACCGAGCGAGGGCCCCCGGCCCGACCUCCAACCCUUUGUUGACCUAAACACCUGUUGCCUCGGGGGAGACCCGGCCUCCGCGCCGGGCCCCCCCGGCGGACACUUCAACUCUGUGUCUGUACGUCGGAGUGAUUAGUGAAUCAAUUAAAACUUUCAACAACGGAUCUCUUGGUUCUGGCAUCGAUGAAGAACGCAGCGAAAUGCGAUAAGUAAUGUGAAUUGCAGAAUUCAGUGAAUCAUCGAAUCUUUGAACGCACAUCGCGCCCUUUGGCAUUCCGAAGGGCAUGCCUGUUCGAGCGUCAUUACACCACUCAAGCCUGGCUUGGUAUUGGGCGACGGGGCACUCCCGCGCCUCAAUUUCACCGGCUGGACGACCCGUAUCUCAGCGUUGUGGCAACGAAUUCGCUGGCGAGAAGGGGGUCCGCGCCGUUAAACCUUCUAUCAAGGUUGACCUCGGAUCAGGUAGGGAUACCCGCUGAACUUAAGCAUAUCAAUAAGCGGAGGAAAAGAAACCAACAGGGAUUGCCCUAGUAACGGCGAGUGAAGCGGCAACAGCUCAAAUUUGAAAUCUGGCGCAAGCCCGAGUUGUAAUUUGGAGAGGAUGCUUCGGGGCAGCGGCCGGUCUAAAUUCCUUGGAACAGGAUGUCAGAGAGGGUGAGAGUCCCGUACGUGACCGGCUGGCACCCCACACGUAGCUCCUUCGACGAGUCGAGUUGUUUGGGAAUGCAGCUCUAAAUGGGAGGUAAAUUUCUUCUAAAGCUAAAUACCGGCCAGAGACCGAUAGCGCACAAGUAGAGUGAUCGAAAGAUGAAAAGCACUUUGGAAAGAGAGUUAAAAAGCACGUGAAAUUGUUGAAAGGGAAGCGCUUGCAACCAGACUUGUUAGCGGUGUUCCGCCGGUCUUCUGACCGGUCUACUCGCCGCGUACAGGCCAACAUCGUCUAGGGCCGCCGGACAAAGGCGUCGGGAAUGUAUCUCUCUUCGGGGAGUGUUAUAGCCCUUCGCGCAAUACGGCGUGCCCCGGGCGAGGUCCGCGCUUCGGCUUGGAUGUUGGCGUAAUGGUCGUAAGCGGCC
rnacentral:rRNA from 1 species